ACGGUCAAUACUAAGGGAUACGGAUUUGUGAGUUUUUCCAACCCGUUAGACCAGGGUGCGGCACUUGAAGAAAUGAAUGGAAAGUAUGUUGGAAACCGGCCGAUUCAACUUCGCAAGAGUAAGUAGCAAACCAGGGAUUGGUGGAUGGGGAGAAACAUAGUUGUUUUGGAAACUUGGGUUUUACAAGAUAUCUGAAGUUAACAUACUGUCAUUAAUGUAUCAGUAAAUAUCAAACCUAGUGUGGGUUUACUGAGGAUGAUUAAAGUCUAAUCUUAGUUGGUGGUCCCUUUGCUUCCGUAUUGUUGUGUUACCUGCUAGAUUUACAUGAACUUUGAAAGGUUGCGGCCAUUUUGAGACAAUUUCUAUACAUAUGAUGGUAGUUUUGCCUCU